AUUGAACGCUGGCGGCAUGCCUUACACAUGCAAGUCGAACGGUAACAGGUCUUCGGAUGCUGACGAGUGGCGAACGGGUGAGUAAUACAUCGGAACGUGCCUAGUAGUGGGGGAUAACUACUCGAAAGAGUGGCUAAUACCGCAUGAGAUCUACGGAUGAAAGCAGGGGAUCGCAAGACCUUGUGCUACUAGAGCGGCCGAUGGCAGAUUAGGUAGUUGGUGGGAUAAAAGCUUACCAAGCCGACGAUCUGUAGCGGGUCUGAGAGGACGAUCAGCCACACUGGGACUGAGACACGGCCCAGACUCCUACCGGAGGCAGCAGUGGGGAAUUUUGGACAAUGGGCGCAAGCCUGAUCCAGCAAUGCCGCGUGCAGGAUGAAGGCCUUCGGGUUGUAAACUGCUUUUGUACGGAACGAAAAGCCCUGGGUUAAUACCCUGGGGUCAUGACGGUACCGUAAGAAUAAGCACCGGCUAACUACGUGCCAGCAGCCGCCGCCGUAA
rnacentral:rRNA from 1 species